UACGGGGGGGGCAAGCGUUGUUCGGAAUUACUGGGCGUAAAGGGCGCGUAGGCGGCCUGCUAAGUCGGAUGUGAAAUCCCUCGGCUCAACCGAGGAACUGCAUCCGAUACUGGCGGGCUUGAAUCCGGGAGAGGGAUGUGGAAUUCCAGGUGUAGCGGUGAAAUGCGUAGAUAUCAGGAGGAACACCCGUGGCGAAAGCGGCUCUCUGGGACGGUACUGACGCUGAGACGCGAAAGCGUGGGGAGCAAACAGG
rnacentral:rRNA from 1 species